rnacentral:rRNA from 1 species
GGACGAACGCUGGCGGCGUGCCUAAUACAUGCAAGUAGAACGCUGAAGGAGGAGCUUGCUCCUCUGGAUGAGUUGCGAACGGGUGAGUAACGCGUAGGUAACCUGCCUGGUAGCGGGGGAUAACUAUUGGAAACGAUAGCUAAUACCGCAUAACAGUAGAUAUCGCAUGAUAGCUGCUUGAAAGGUGCAAUUGCACCACUACCAGAUGGACCUGCGUUGUAUUAGCUAGUUGGUGAGGUAACGGCUCACCAAGGCGACGAUACAUAGCCGACCUGAGAGGGUGAUCGGCCACACUGGGACUGAGACACGGCCCAGACUCCUACGGGAGGCAGCAGUAGGGAAUCUUCGGCAAUGGACGGAAGUCUGACCGAGCAACGCCGCGUGAGUGAAAGAAGGUUUUCGGAUCGUAAAGCUCUGUUGUAAGAGAAGAACGAGUGUGAGAGUGGAAAGUUCACACUGUGACGGUAUCUUACCAGAAAGGGACGGCUAACUACGUGCCAGCCGCCGC